GAUGAACGCUGGCGGCGUGCCUAAUACAUGCGAGUCGAACGCUGAAGGAAGGAGCUUGCUCUUUCCGGAUGAGUUGCGAACGGGUGAGUAACGCGUAGGUAACCUGCCUGGUAGCGGGGGAUAACUAUUGGAAACGAUAGCUAAUACCGCAUAACAGUAGAUGUUGCAUGAUAUCUACUUAAAAGGUGCAAUUGCACCACUACCAGAUGGACCUGCGUUGUAUUAGCUAGUUGGUGAGGUAACGGCUCACCAAGGCGACGAUACAUAGCCGACCUGAGAGGGUGAGCGGCCACACUGGGACUGAGACACGGCCCAGACUCCUACGGGAGGCAGCAGUAGGGAAUCUUCGGCAAUGGACGGAAGUCUGACCGAGCAACGCCGCGUGAGUGAAGAAGGUUUUCGGAUCGUAAAGCUCUGUUGUAAGAGAAGAACGAGUGUGAGAGUGGAAAGUUCACACUGUGACGGUAUCUUACCAGAAAGGGACGGCUAACUACGUG
rnacentral:rRNA from 1 species